rnacentral:rRNA from 1 species
CACGUAAGGGGCAAGCGUUGUCCGGAAUCACUGGGCGUAAAGCGCACGUAGGCGGCUUAGUAAGUCAGGGGUGCAAGCUCCAGGCCUAACCUGGAAACUGCCUCUGAAACUGCUUCGCUUGAGUAUCAGAGGGGAAACUGGAAUUCACGGUGUAGCGGUGAAAUGCGUAGAUAUCGUGGAGAACACCCGUGGCGAAGGCGGGUUUCUGGCUGAUUACUGACGCUGAGGUGCGAAAGCUAGGGGAGCGAACGGG